AAAGGAAAAUCAUUAAGGUUAGUGGAGAGAAAUAAGUGUGCUGCCACCAUCCUUUGAUCCCCACCUCUUCAACCACCAAAAGCCAUGCUUUCCUCCCUUUACAGCCACCAACUUCACUCCUUAUUAUAUCAACCACCAAAUUCUUCUCUCUUUAAGCAUCAAUAGCUUGAGAGAAUUGUCUAGCUGCUGCAAAACUUCGAAGAGGUAAGAUUGGCUUAGCCUUAUCCAUUUUUUUUUCUUUUCUUAGUUCUCCCUGCAUUGUUAAAGAAAAACAAGAUAUGUGAUUUUUUUCAGCUAUCUUCUCAUUAAAUUCAAACAGAGCAACAGACAGCCAAAAGGACAAAACAAUCAAGGUCAAGGGCGAGAUUGAUAAUCUGUUGAGGAGCUUUCGUAUCACAGAAAAUCACUAUCAGGUUGAGCAGCUGCCGAUGGUGAUGAAGUGACGAGCGGGAUUCUUUUGUCUUAUUAUGUAUUAAUGAACUCUAGGGUUACAUGUCUUCAUACAUGUAAUCAGAACCUUAUUCCGCUG